CACAUCCAGGUGGCUGGUGGCCCACGAGGAGCUCGUGUAAAUGCUUGGUGGUGUUGUAUUUCUGUUAGUUAGUCUGAAAGUGUUAUAUUUAUUUCAGCUUUAAAUUAUUAUUUUAGUUUUCAUUUCAAACGUUUGUUAUAAUUUUAUUUUGUUUAGAUUAAGGGUGUGAAAUAUUUUAUAAUGUACCAUGAGCAAGUGCCUGUUGUGAGAAGAUAAUAGGUUCGAUUGGCAAUACAACACGGAACACCCUCAAAUGAACCAACACUACUUUUAUUUGUAAGAGCAUCUCAUUAUAACUCACUGCCGUUAAGAGUGCCAAGCUCUACAAUCACGCCUUAAAAUAUUUUACCAUAUUUCUGGCUCACCCUGUAUACAUACACACACAGGGUGGGGGCGGAUGGUAUUACAUAUCAGGGCCCCAGCCAAAUAUUCUUUCCGGGCCCCCGAAAGCUGAGUACAAAUGCACGGAAGUGCAAAGACAAUUCAGAAUGGAGUUCAACAAAGUGAAACAAUGUACUGGAUCAUUGCUCGCAUCAGAAAUAAGGUAUGCUGAUUAACACAAUGGCUCUUACUCAGCAUUGUUCUAUCAGACAAUUUUACCCAGGCCGGGGCCCUCAGGGGGCCUGGGCCAGCCCCACCAAACUUGUGUGGGGGUGGAUAGUGUUACAUGAUGUGGCCCCGGCCAAAUAUGUUUUCCGGGCCCCCGAAAGCUGAGUACAGUGGAUGCUACCGAUGUGAACUACACCGAUCUGGACGAGUGGACCUUCUGCUUUUCACUUUACUAUGUUUACCUUUGCCAUGUUCAGACAUGUUGACAUGUUGCGCUGUUCUUUGCUUGGUAAUGCUGAUGUAACGCAAUGGCAGGACAUUAACUUUGCUUUGAAGAAAGAAAGUUUGUUCAGAAAUAUUAUUGUAAAGCUAGAAAUGAAAUGGACAAUUUUACCCGAGCCGGGGCCCUCAGGGGGCCUGGACCAGCCCCCCAGUGUGGGGGCGGAUGUUAUUACAUAACAGGGCCCCGGCCAAAUAUUCUUUCUGGGCCCCCGAAAGCUGAGUACGUGUCUGCCCGGAAGUGCAGAGACAAUUCAGAAUGGAGUUCAACAAAGUGAAAAACAAUGUACUGUAUCAUUGCUCGCAUCAGAAAUAAGGAGAAGAAGGCUAAGGCUUGGGGAAGAAGAGGUUUUGAUCCAGACUACUGCCCUGGUGGAUUUUAAAAUUUAUCGAUUGCAGCGAAGGUGAGGCAAAAGCAUGAGUGUAAGAAAAGCAAAAUAUGACCUUCCUUCGAGAAUUGACUCCUACAAAAAAAAAAGCAAAUCAGGUAAUCUGAUGUAACGCAAAAGAAAUGAAACCGACAAAUUUACUGGGCCGGGGCCCUCAGGGGGCCUGGGCCAGCCCCACCAAACUUGUGUUACAUGACAGGGCCCCGGCCAAAUACUCUGUCCGGGCCCCCGAAAGCUGAGUACGGCCCUGCCCGGAAGUAAAAUUCAGAAUGGAGUUCAACAAAGUGAAACAAUGUACAGAUAGAAUAAUAUGUCUGAGCGGCAUUGAAGAUUUGGAUUGAAGCGUAAUGCUGAUUAACGCAAUGGCUCUUACUCAGCAGUGUUCUAUCAGACAAUUUUACCCAGGCCGGGGCCCUCAGGGGGCCUGGGCCAGCCCCACCAAACUUGUGUGGGGGUGGAUAGUGUUACAUGAUGUGGCCCCGGCCAAAUAUCUUUUCCGGGCCCCCGAAAGCUGAGUACAGUGGAUGCUACCGAUGUGAACUAGACCGAUCUGGACGAGUGGACCUUCUGCUUUUCACUUUACCAUGUUUACCUAUGCCAUGUUCAGACAUGUUGACGUGUUGCGCUGUUCUUUGCUUGCCUGACCACAAGCACGCCACGAGCACCGCCACCCGUCACCCCUACGGACCGGCCAGCAACAAGUCCUUGACCUUUGCCCCAAAACGAGCUCGACCUUCUAUAAUACGUAUAUCAUCAGGAAGAGAGUUCCAGAGGCGACAUGCCUGAACAGUGAGAAGUUCGAUCGAUAAACAGGAAUUGACAGUGAGGUAAUGCUGAUUAACGCAAUGGCUCUUACUCAGCAGUGUUCUAUCAGACAAUUUUACCCAGGCCGGGGCCCUCAGGGGGCCUGGGCCAGCCCCACCAAACUUGUGUGGGGGUGGAUAGUGUUACAUGAUGUGGCCCCGGCCAAAUAUCUUUUCCGGGCCCCCGAAAGCUGAGUACAGUGGAUGCUACCGAUGUGAACUAGACCGAUCUGGACGAGUGGACCUUCUGCUUUUCACUUUACCAUGUUUACCUUUGCCAUGUUCAGACAUGUUGACGUGUUGCGCUGUUCUUUGCUUGGUAAUGCUGAUUAACGCAAUGGCUCUUACUCAGCAGUGUUCUAUCAGACAAUUUUACCCAGGCCGGGGCCCUCAGGGGGCCUGGGCCAGCCCCACCAAACUUGUGUGGGGGUGGAUAGUGUUACAUGAUGUGGCCCCGGCCAAAUAUCUUUUCCGGGCCCCCGAAAGCUGAGUACAGUGGAUGCUACCGAUGUGAACUAGACCGAUCUGGACGAGUGGACCUUCUGCUUUUCACUUUACCAUGUUUACCUUUGCCAUGUUCAGACAUGUUGACGUGUUGCGCUGUUCUUUGCUUGGUAAUACUGAUGUAACGCAAUGACUCUUCUUCUGUGGGACGGCCUACUGCCAUGCAAUUACGAACUUGAAUAUUAAAAAUCUUGAACAAUAUUGUGAUUUAUCGUAUGUGUCUCAACAAAAAACGUGGGCGGAUGGUGUUACAUGACAGGGCCCCGGCCAAAUAUCCUUUCCGGGGCCCCGAAAGCUGAUUACGGCGCUGCUGCACGGAAGUGCAGAGACAAUUCAGAGUGGACGUUCAUGUAAUAAAAUUUUUGACUGAGUUCGAGAUCAACACACUGGACCAUUGCUUGCAUCAGAAAUAAGUGAAAGAAGCGCAAAAGAAGUGGAAGGUACUUCGUGAUUACUACAGAAGUGAGUUCCGAAAAAACGCAAAAAGAGAGAUCAGGCCAGGGAGCAGAUACUGUUUACAAACCUUAAAAUUGGCCUUACUUUAUGAGUUUGAAGUUUUUGAGAGGACAAUUUCAGGCAAGACCCUCCAGUGGAAAUAUAACAUUGAGUGAACACCGCUCUGAAAAGAGGAAAGCAGUUCAAACCGAAAUAACAGAGGUUUUCCUUCCGCACAUUUGAUACAGGAAUCGAUAUGCAGGACUUAAAAAAAGAAUUGGGAUUUUUGAGCCCAUGAACAUUUAUUUAACUUAGGAAUUGAAUUAACCCUCAAACUGGCGGUGUCUGCUCCUGUACUGGCACCCUUUUAUCAGCUGUUUGUAAAAUUUACAUUAAAGUGUUAUAUGCAUCAAUAAAUACUUUAAAUAUA
rnacentral:lncRNA from 1 species